rnacentral:rRNA from 1 species
UACAGAGGUCUCAAGCGUUGUUCGGAUUCAUUGGGCGUAAAGGGUGCGUAGGUGGCGUGGUAAGUCGGGUGUGAAAUUUCGGAGCUUAACUCCGAAACUGCAUUUUGAUACUGCGGUGCUUUGAGGGACUGGAGAGGAGACUGGAAUUCACGGUGUAGUGGUGAAAUGCGUAGAUAUCGGGAAGGAACACCAGUGGCGAAGGCGACUUCCUGGCCUGUUCUUGACGCUGAGGCGCGAAAAGCUAGGGGGAGCAAACGGGG